rnacentral:rRNA from 1 species
CUAUACGACCGAACCGCAAACCGACACUGGUGCGCGAGAUGAGUAUUCUAAGGCGCUUGAGAGAACUCAGGAGAAGGAACUCGGCAAAUUGACACCGUAACUUCGGAAGAAGGUGUGCCCUAUUAGUGUGUAGUGAACAACGAAGCAUGAAUGGGUUGCAAAAAAUCGGUGGCUGCGACUGUUUAUUAAAAACACAGCACUCUGCAAACACGAAAGUGGACGUAUAGGGUGUGACGCCUGCCCGGUGCUGGAAGAUUAAAUGAUGGGGUGCAAGCUCUUGAUUGAAGUCCCAGUAAACGGCGGCCGUAACGAUAACGGUCCUAAGGUAGCGAAAUUCCUUGUCGGGUAAGUUCCGACCUGCACGAAUGGCGUAACGAUGGCCACACUGUCUCCUCCUGAGAUUCAGCGAAGUUGAAAUGUUUGUGAUGAUGCAAUCUCCCCGCGGAAAGACGGAAAGACCCCAUGAACCUUUACUGUAGCUUUGUAUUGGACUUUGAACAGAUCUGUGUAGGAUAGGUGGGAGGCUUUGAAGCAGGGUCGCUAGAUCUUGUGGAGCCAACGUUGAAAUACCACCCUGGUGUGUUUGAGGUUCUAACCUAGGUCCAUUAUCUGGAUCGGGGACAGUGCAUGGUAGGCAGUUUGACUGGGGCGGUCUCCUCCCAAAGCGUAACGGAGGAGUUCGAAGGUACGCUAGUUACGGUCGGACAUCGUGACGAUAGUGCAAUGGCAUAAGCGUGCUUAACUGCGAGACUGACAAGUCGAGCAGAUGCGAAAGCAGGACAUAGUGAUCCGGUGGUUCUGUAUGGAAGGGCCAUCGCUCAACGGAUAAAAGGUACUCUGGGGAUAACAGGCUGAUACCGCCCAAGAGUUCAUAUCGACGGCGGUGUUUGGCACCUCGAUGUCGGCUCAUCUCAUCCUGGGGCUGUAGCCGGUCCCAAGGGUAUGGCUGUUCGCCAUUUAAAGAGGUACGUGAGCUGGGUUUAAAACGUCGUGAGACAGUUUGGUCCCUAUCUUCCGUGGGCGCUGCAGAUUUGAGGAAGCCUGCUCCUAGUACGAGAGGACCGGAGUGGACACACCUCUGGUGUAUCGGUUGUCACGCCAGUGGCAUUGCCGAGUAGCUAAGUGUGGAAGAGAUAACCGCUGAAAGCAUCUAAGCGGGAAACUCGUUUCAAGAUGAGAUCUGCCGGGGCCUUGAGCCCCCUAAAGAGUCGUUCAAGACCAGGACGUUGAUAGGUCAGGUGUGGAAGCUA